rnacentral:rRNA from 1 species
UACAGAGGCCUCGAGCGUUAGGCGGAAUCACUGGGCUUAAAGCGUGUGUAGGCGGAUCGUUUAGUACCUUGUGAAAUCCCACGGCUUAACCGUGGAACUGCUGGGUAUACUGGCGAUCUUGAGCCAUCUAGGGGCGAGCGGAACAAAUGGUGGAGCGGUGAAAUGCGUAGAUAUCAUUUGGAACGCCAAAGGUGAAAACAGCUCGCUAGGGAUAGUGCUGACGCUGAGACACGAAAGCCAGGGGAGCGAACGGG